rnacentral:lncRNA from 1 species
UAGAUAAUGGUGUACUCUAAAAACUUAAACAGUUAGAUAACGGUGUUUAAAUAUUUUUAUAUUUAGAUAACGGGGUUUAAACAUUUUUAUAUUUAACACUCCCCCUUACGUCCUUACGUCUGGACUUGAGACUUUUUAGUCGACUCAUGACGUACGUGGGCUUGAAUUAAAUGGGAGGAAAUUAAUAUGCUAGGAGCCUGACGUGACUCGAACUUAGGACCUCCUACUCUGAUACCAUGUGAAACAACCAUUGUACUCUAAAAAAUUAAGCUAUUAGAUAAUGGUGUUUAAACAUUUUUAUAUUUAACAGAGCCAUCUCUAACAUGAUAAU